rnacentral:rRNA from 1 species
ACUACGGGAGGCAGCAGUGAGGAAUAUUGGUCAAUGGCCGGGAGGCUGAACCAGCCAAGUCGCGUGAGGGAAGACGGCCCUACGGGUUGUAAACCUCUUUUGUCAGGGAGCAAGGUGCAGGUCGGGACCUGCUGUGAGAGUACCUGAAGAAAAAGCAUCGGCUAACUCCGUGCCAGCAGCCGCGUUAAUACGGAGGAUGCGAGCGUUCUCCGGAUUUAUUGGGUUUAAAGGGUGCGCAGGCGGAGGCACAAGUCAGCGGGAAAAUCGCGAGGCUCAACCCCGCUUCGCCGUUGAGACUGUGUCCCUUGAGUGCGCGAAGGGUAGGCGGAAUGCGUGGUGUAGCGGUGAAAUGCAUAGAUAUCACGCAGAACUCCGAUCGCGAAGGCAGCCUACCGGCGCGCAACUGACGCUCAUGCACGAAAGCGUGGGUAUCGAACAGGAUUAGAUACCCUAGUAGUC